ensembl:lncRNA
UGGAACUCAAGGAGUGGCUGAAGAAUCAGUGGAUAUUUUUAUAACCCACAUCCUGGCUUUCCAAAUCAGAAUCAUCCACUCAAGGAUGAAUGUUUUUAUUUACAUUGUUCCUUCUGUUUGGCUGAGUCAUCCAGCUAGAUUAGAACCUCUGCUUCUGCCUUCAGAGUGGUCCUGGGUGUUACUUGAUCAGCAUCAAACUUCUCCUCUGGACUUGUAAUGAUAGUAACUGGCAUUCAUUGAUUGCUAAUCAGUUUCUUACAGGUGCAGGGAUGCAUUUGAGCCAGAACUCUGAGUGAUCCCUGUGCUUCUGUAGCUGGUCCCUCUGUCUGCGAGCUGGGUCAUGCCGAAUGCCAGCCAUGGUCUCACACAUCUGUCUCCUCACUAGACAGCAAGUGCUGCUACAAGGAAGGCUUCUUGUCCAAGUCCUCUGAAAAUGCACAUAGUACAUUUUUUGGACCUGCACAGAAGAACCUGCAGAAUUGUUAUACUCAGGAAGUGGGGAGCAACUCAUUCUACGGCUUUCUGCUCCAGGACUACCCUCGACAUUCAGAAUAAAUGCCACUUUUGCUUAAUUCUUAAACAGAUGGCCGUGAGGGAACAGUUUGCUACACCACUGGCUCCUGCCGGAGACCACAAGCAAUGGAUCCACCCCAACCUGGACUGGAUCCUCAAAAGCUGUGGACAAAAUAAACAUUCUUUCUUUAUUGA